CCGUGCUAGUCGGGGAGUUAGCGGUGCCCUGUACCUGCAAUCCGCUAUAGCAGGGACGAUGCCUAUCUGAGGCCUUAUCUCCUUAGGGCCUGCCCUUUGCAAGUGGUGAUGAAAAUCGGGUCUUGCGCAACAGAAGUUUGUGAACCGUGCCAGGUCCGGAAGGAAGCAGUACUAAGCAAAUAUCUCUGUGUGCCGCAAGGGUGCCUAGUUUGAGCUAACUGCAAAGGUAACGCCUGGGGGGAAUUGUCGAGGGUAGGUGCACGG
rnacentral:SRP_RNA from 1 species